CGUGUAUAGAGUUUAGGUUAUUAGGCAUAUUAGUUAGCCCACAAAAUGGAACCAGUAAAAUCCUACUUUAAUUGCUCUCUCUCCCUCUCUCUCACUUGUUCACAAAGUCGCUUCAACUAAAUUAUUUUUCUUAAUAUUAUACUACCGCAUUUCAUAUAUUUAUUUUGUAUAUAGAACUAUUAGAAAUAUUUUCGAAUCGAAUUUUAGAUAAAAUUUUAUAAAAAAAUAAACUAUAAAUUGUAUGAUAUUAAGAAUUUCAAGUGGCUCGUUUAGGGCUCGAGCUCGCUCAACUGGAAGUUACGCUCGUUCGAGCUCCGUUCGAAUUAAGUUCAAGCGGAGCUUGCGCCUAAAUUUAGGCUCGAAAUUAAUUUCAAGUCAAGAUAGAGCUGAGAUAAACU
rnacentral:lncRNA from 1 species